GAAAUGCGAUACGUAAUGCGAAUUGCAGAAUUCAGUGAAUCAUCAAAUCUUUGAACGCAACUUGCGCCUUUUGGUUAGCCCAGAAGGCAUACUUCUCUGAGUAUCGUUUCAAACCAAACUCGCCUGCGUGCUUGAAAGAGUACGUUUAAGGUGGAUAAUGAGUGUCAUCGGAAUUUAAACGACGAUGUCACUUCAAAUGAAUGGCGCUUAAGAUCAACACGUUGGGCUUCACAGCCUACCUUGCUGAUGUUUGAUAAAAGCUCACUCCGGUGAACUCAUUUCAUCAUUAGUAAAGGAGUGUUGUGUCGAAAGUGAUACAAAGACAACAGAUUGAAUUUAUUUUUAAUCUUGACUCUGAUCUCAGAUGAAGUAAGAUUACCCGCCGAAUUUAA
rnacentral:misc_RNA from 1 species